AUACGCUGCGGUGACCCCGCUUGCCGGCGGGGUGCCGCAGCGUAUCGGUGAAGUCCGGUGUAAUCCGGCACUGUCCCGCAACUGUGAGGCCGGCAGCGCGCUGCCGGACGAGUCAGGUCGGCCGGCGCGGCGGUCACGUACUG
rnacentral:ncRNA from 2 species